rnacentral:lncRNA from 1 species
UCAUUCUCUUUCGUUAAGACCCGAGAUUCUACUCAGGGACCACUCCUAAAUGCAAUUGAAAUAAGCAAAUAUGUGCAGAUUGCCGGGAAGACAGCCAUGCAAGAUGGUAAGGCUACUUAUUCUCCAGCUUGAACCAUUCUCUAGAUGAAAUUAUGUGGGUGAAUAAAUUUUCUUUACCUAUAUGAGCUAGUCACUCUUCAUUUCCAAAUGACAGUGAAUAUUCUCAAUGCUCUUCAAGCCAAGUCUACGGACAGUAAUUGGCUGAACGAAGAUGGUGAUCCUUGUGUUCCCACUCCGUGGGAAUGGGUGAGUUGCAGCUCUAACAUACCACCAAGAAUCACAAAAAUGUAAGUUCCUUGCACUUUCUCAAUGAAAACUUCUUUGUCCUGUAAGAUUUAUUUUACUAGCACGCACAUACAAAUUAAAAAACAAAGCAUUCGUCAGUUUGAAUGGCAGAACAAAAUCUACAAUUCGUGCCACUAUAUCAUAAUUCAUCCACUCGUUCAGUGAGUUUUAUUACUAUCACACAGUUUCCCAAAAUCUAAACUCAACCUUAAACUAUAACACAUAAAAAUGCCUACAUCAAAAAGAAUGAUUUAUGCUAGAAAAUAUAGGAACAUUUGACAUUUCUGUUAGAAUAUCAAAUGCCAGAUCCAUUAGAUUAGGAGGUCCACAUUUCAGCAGUUUUUCAGCAUACCACUGGGACAGAAGCAUGUCAUUACCUAAAAUAUGCAUAAGAAAUUUUAGCGUAAGUGUGCGUAAGAUGGAAAUCACACUCUAAUUGAUAUUUACAGUUCUUUAUAAAUUUUUAUGUGCUUGAGGUAUAUUCCCAGUUUUACUAACAAUUUUGAACAGUGCACUGUCAGGAAAAAAAGUUCAAGGUGAUAUCCCAGCUGAGCUUAAUAACAUGGAUGGAUUGAUUGAGUUGUAAGUGCAGUUGAGCAAUGAAAAUAAUAAUAAUUUACUUCGUUAACUCCGACCAGAACCUGACUGCUGCUUUUAUUUUAGGUGGUUGGAUGGCAACUCUUUUGAGGGGCCAAUCCCUGAUAUUAGUAACCUCGUCAAUUUGAAAAUUCUGUAAGUUCUUCACUCAUAUUAGUUUCGUUUCACUAGUUUACACCGAGAGAAUUCAGAGUUUUUGGUGACUGGUUGGUAUUUUUGGUGAAUAUGCAGGAAUCUAGAGAAUAACAAACUAACUGGUCCAUUACCAUCUUCCCUGGGUAGUUUGCCAAGCUUAAAAGAAUUGUAUGUAGGGAUCUGAACAUCUCCACUUCUAGAUGAUUGAUUUUGAUUAGAUACUUUCUAUAUUCUAACUUAGGACUUGUUAUUCAAAAUAAGGCCUUUCCUGAGCUAGAUAUUUAACUGUGAAGUAAUUUUAUUUUAUUAUCUGCAGGUAUGUACGCAACAACUCUUUGAGUGGGGAAAUCCCCCUAGAAUUGUUAACAGGAAAAGUGAUUUUUAAGUGAGUAUUAUUCACGACAGAAAUGUGUACAUGCUUAUUAUCCAUGACUAAACUAGUUUCUUUCUUCAAUGAGAAAAAGAAAAAAUAAACUUAGCUAUGUGUUAUUAUUUCAGAAAAGAUAUGAUAUCAAUAAGACUAAACAUAUGUUGAAAUAGACAUUUUGCAAAUCAUUCUAAGCUCCAUCCUUAAUCCCAUGCCCAGUAUUUCAAUCGUAUAGAGUGUCUUAUGUACAUAAAGGAACAAACACACUAAUAAGAAUGGAAAUAGCUUGCAAAUCUGAUUUGAGAAAAAAAUGUAAUUUGUGAUAUCUAAGUAUGUAACACAUUGUACCAGGUAAAAUAAACAAUAUGUGCAUAUAUUUCUUCAGAUGCAAUGCCUACACAUAACAGAAAAAGGGAACAGUUUGGCGGGAAAACUAAAGCCAUACAAACAAUCAUAACACCAAGAGUAUGAUAAGACAGAGACAGAAAGAGUAUUCAAACAGUCUAGUUAUCAAAAGUAGUAAUAUUCUCUCUUGCAGCUAUGAAGGUAAUCCUGGUCUAAGGCUUGGGACUAAGCAUAAGGGACAUCAAAGAUUAAUUGUUGGAAUUUCCGUUGGAGUACUAGCAAUUCUUCUUGUUCUGUUCAUAGGAAGUUUGCUUCUACUGUGUUACCUUCGGAAAAAGACAUCUUACCAGAGGAGUGAUGACAAAGGUAUGCACUCCAAAUUUCCAUUUUUUUUGGAAUAUUCAAUAAUUCUUUUUUGUCCAUCAGGUGAUUCAUUGCGCACUAGCACUAAACGGUCGUCUGCUUAUUCAAUAGCACGAGGUGGGAAUCUAAUGGAUGAAGGAGUUGCAUACCAUAUAACGUUCUCUGAGAUAGAAGAAGCUACCAAAUGCUUUUCAAAGCAAAUUGGUAAAGGAAGUUUUGGACCUGUGUAUUAUGGCAAAUUGAAAGAUGGAAAAGAGGUGGCAGUUAAAAUCAUGGCUGAUUCAUCUAGCCAUGGGACCCGACAAUUUGUUACUGAGGUAGCAUAGCUGUGUACAUGCAUGGUUUAUAUAGACUACUGCAUUCUAUUUAAUUGCAUUGAAGUUAGUUUGAAUGUGAAUAUUUUUAAAAUAUACAGUUUCAUUGAAAAUUUAGAUGAAAUCCAUCAACUGCACUUAAACACCUACUACAACUCUAAAGCAUAUAAUUGCUAUCAUAAGUUUCAAUCAUUAAAUAGAAAAGUGUACUUGCAGGUCGCUCUCUUGUCAAGAAUUCAUCACAGAAACUUGGUUCCACUAAUUGGCUAUUGUGAAGAAGAAAACCAAAGUAUGCUCGUUUAUGAAUACAUGCACAACGGAACUUUGCGGGAUCACAUACAUGGUAUUCAUCUAUAAACCUACCAUAAUUCUGUCUAGUCAUUAGCACGGAGUCAGAGAAAAAUUAAUGACAUAAAAUUUGAUGACAGAUUAUUGCAAUCAGAAGCACUUGGACUGGCUAGCUCGUCUUUAUAUUGCAGAAGAUGCAGCUAAAGGUUUAUACCUGAUUUCCCUGUUGUUCAUGUAGCUAUAAAUUUUUAGAUCAAGAGAGUAGCUGAAACUUGAUCUUUUUAGGCCUCGAAUACUUGCACUCUGGAUGCAACCCAAGUAUCAUUCAUCGCGAUGUAAAAACAAGCAAUAUUCUCCUAGAUAUCAAUAUGAGGGCAAAAGUAUCUGAUUUUGGACUUUCAAGGCAAACUGAAGAAGAUCUAACCCAUAUAUCAAGUGUGGCUCGAGGAACUGUUGGCUACCUUGAUCCUGGGUAAGCCAUAUCAUGUAAUCUCAUACACUCAUCUGUUCCCUUAUGCCUAGCUUGACUGAGUAUAUCUCUACAACAGGUACUAUGCAAAUCAGCAAUUAACUGAAAAAAGUGAUAUUUAUAGUUUUGGGGUCGUUCUUUUAGAACUGGUCUCAGGAAGAAAGCCUGUGUCAACAGAAGAUUAUGGCACUGAAUGGAAUAUUGUUCACUGGGUAAGCAUGCUACCAUUUCUUUAUUCAUAAUUUUCAACAUUUGGCAACUUUUCCUAAAGCUAAAAUAAAUCCCGAUAGCCAAAAAAAAUAUAUGAGAGAUGCACAAGUCUAUUAAAGACCAUGCCAGACAAUAUAGAAAAACGUCUAGAAGGUAAGAUGUAUACAGCUUAGGCAAGAAUUAUAGGAUAGGGGUUUGUUUAAAUUAGAAAAAAAAAUGAUCCUACAAGAUGGUAUAUUCAAGCUCUAAGAGGUAGCUUAUAUGAUAAACAACAUCACAAUAUGUAUUCAUGGGAGACUAUUGGUUAUAUUAUCCUUGCUCUACUAGGCACUAGGUAUACUAUAUAGUUAAGGUGUAAUGUAGGUGAGUGGGUGAUUGCUUGUGUCUCUGUCUGGACACAGAAAGUGAAUGGCAAUGCCAAACUAAGAUAGUAUAGUGCAACUGCAACAGGCAGACUACAACACUAAAAUAAUUGAAAAUGUAAAACUUAUCUAGUAAACCAUAUGCCUGCUAGAAUGUUUUUUAUAUUGGUUCUCAGAAUGACUAAUUCCAUGAAAUAUGAAUUUACACCAAAAUCCAAAACAUUAAUAUUUACUGUACCUACACAAAACAUUAAUAGUAAAAAUAAUAAUAAUUAAUAAUUCCACUGAGAUCGGAGGGGGUACAUAUUCUUCUAAAAUGAUUAAUGUGCUUCAAUACUAGCUUAAACAGUAAGAAAAUUACAAAACAAAAUAUUAUAAAUCAAAUAUGAUAGCCAUGAAUAAUUUUUUCAUACUCUUUGAGUUACAUGCUGAUAUAUCAUCAUUUUAUAAUUUGCAGGCAAGGUCAUUGAUUCGUAAAGGAGAUGUGAUAAGCAUAAUAGAUCCUUCACUAGCAGAAAAGGUCAAAAUUGAAUCUGUAUGGAGGAUUGCAGAAGUCGCAAUCCAAUGUGUCGAACAACACGGAGCUUCGAGACCUAGGAUGCAGGAAAUUAUUUUGGCUAUACAGGAUGCAAUCAAGAUUGAAAAAGGGUGUGAUAAAAUAACUUCAAGAAGCGCAAAAUCACAAUCUUCCCGCAGAACACUACUAACGAGCUUUCUUGAUAUUGAAAGCCCCGACUUAUCUAAUCCAUCGCUAGUCCCAUCCGCUAGAUAACCAUCUAGUUCACCUCAUUUUACACUUUUUUAGUAAGAUCAUAACUAGUAUACAUUGUUGUCUAUUUCUUUUUCUUCUUCUUCAAUUUCUUUUUGUGAGAGUUGUUACACUUCUAGCUGAAAUUCCUGUACCACAUCAUUAAACUUCGGGCUUGUUCGUGGCUUUAGCUUAUUUCGUACAUUUGGAAUGCACCAUUUUAGACCCCAAACAAUGCGUUUCUAAGUUAAAUAAGCUGCAUUUGGAAAUUGUGUUUGUAAACUGAACAAGAUUUUCAGGUGCUCUUGGCGUCCAAAACCCAAACCAAAUAUGCACUUAAACCAAAUUUGACUUCCAAUUAAGUUAAAUCUUUUCAUGUGUAUACUUGUAUUUAUUGAGGACAUAUUAAAUUUUGGAAUUUGACAGAUAUUUUGUAAGGAAUAGGUAGGGAUAUAAAAGUCAAUAUAGGAUUAGUGGGGGCAUUAUGGUAAUAGUGGUAUUCUAAGUAGAUAUAUAGCUGAGUUGUAAUUCUAUUGGCAUCAUGGAAUGAUAACGUGAUAUUUCUUUUCUCUCUCAACAGUUCUCUUCUGUCUUCUUCUUCACUCUAACUGCUCUCUCUCUCUCUCUCUCUCAACUCAAUUUUCUGUUCCUUAUUCCCUAAAUUUCCUUGAUAAUUUCAGUCUGCUUCUCCAAUUCAUUACAUAUUUCAAACAAAAAUUGACAAAUGAAGCUUCAUGGUUAAAAUUAAAAGGCAGAAAAUUUGCAUACUGGUGCAAAUUAUGUAGGCGUAUAUAUAUAUAUAUAUAUAUAUAUAUAUAUAUAUAUAUAUAUAUAUAUAUAUAUAUAUAUAUAUAUAUAUAUNNNNNNNNNNNNNNNNNNNNNNNNNNNNNNNNNNNNNNNNNNNNNNNNNNNNNNNNNNNNNNNNNNNNNNNNNNNNNNNNNNNNNNNNNNNNNNNNNNNNAUAUAUAUGGGUAAGUACUAUGUCAAACUUGAAUAUUAUUAUGAACGGUGUUAGAUGUGGUUGCUAUAUAUGUGUAUAUAUAUGGGAGCUGAUCCUAUAAAAGGAAAUGUGCUAUGAAGAUCGAGUAACAAAGCUUACAGAUGAGGAAUAGGAGGAAUUCACCUUUGCCGGCACAAAUCUGACGCCCUUUCCUUUCUUUCGCCGGAGACUGGAUUACUUGCCUUCG